rnacentral:rRNA from 1 species
UACGUAGGGUGCAAGCGUUAAUCGGAAUUACUGGGCGUAAAGCGUGCGCAGGCGGCUUUGCAAGACAGAUGUGAAAUCCCCGGGCUCAACCUGGGAACCGCAUUUGUGACUGCAGGGCUAGAGUGCGGUAGAGGGGGAUGGAAUUCCGCGUGUAGCAGUGAAAUGCGUAGAUAUGCGGAGGAACACCGAUGGCGAAGGCAAUCCCCUGGACCUGUACUGACGCUCAUGCACGAAAGCGUGGGGAGCAAACAGG